rnacentral:rRNA from 1 species
GUUUGAUCCUGGCUCAGGACGAACGCUGGCGGCGUGCUUAACACAUGCAAGUCGAGCGGUAAGGCCCCUUCGGGGGUACACGAGCGGCGAACGGGUGAGUAACACGUGAGCAAUCUGCCCUUCACUUUGGGAUAACUCUGGGAAACGAGAGCUAAUACCGAAUACGACCACUUCAGGCAUCUGAUGGUGGUGGAAAGUUCCGGCGGUGAAGGAUGAGCUCGCGGCCUAUCAGCUAGUUGGUGGAGUAACGGCCCACCAAGGCUUCGACGGGUAGCCGGCCUGAGAGGGUGACCGGCCACACUGGGACUGAGACACGGCCCAGACUCCUACGGGAGGCAGCAGUGGGGAAUAUUGGACAAUGGGCGAAAGCCUGAUCCAGCAACGCCGCGUGAGGGAUGACGGCCUCGGUUGUAACGUACUUCUAGUAGGACGAA